GACAGAGGGUGCAAACGUUGCUCGGAAUUACUGGGCGUAAAGCGCGUGUAGGCGGUGCCGCACGUCCGGUGUGAAAGCCCAGGGCUCAACCCUGGAAGUGCACUGGAUACGACGGCGCUGGAGUCCUGAAGAGGAGGGCGGAAUUCCCGGUGUAGAGGUGAAAUUCGUAGAUAUCGGGAGGAACACCAGUGGCGAAGGCGGCUCUCUGGACAGGUACUGACGCUGAGACGCGAAAGCGUGGGUAGCAAACAGG
rnacentral:rRNA from 1 species